rnacentral:misc_RNA from 1 species
UGCAUUUGAAUACUCAGCUAGACAUGGCCUAGAAUGGUGGCAGAUUGACAUGACUUGGUAUGUUGUGAGGUUUCUUCAAGCUAUAGGGUUGGCAACUGAUGUAAAGCUACCAUCUGAGAUGCAAAAGCAAAGGCUGGCUUUCAACAAUUGAAGCAUAUGGUCCAUGUGUAACACCACUUCAUGUUGGUGGACUUUCAUGCUAGCUCUUUAGUCUUGUUUAUAAUAGCUCAUGUUUACAUAUGCAUGUAACCAUAGUGAUGUAUACCAUACACAAAGUCAAAUUUGUUCAUUCACAUUG